ensembl:misc_RNA Metazoa_SRP Metazoan signal recognition particle RNA
GCCGGGCAUGGUGGCUCAUGCCUGUAAUCCCAGCACUUUGGGAGGCUGAGGCAGGUGGAUCACCUGAGGUCAGGAGUUUGAGACCAACUUGACCAAUAUGGUGAAACUCUGUCUCUA